rnacentral:rRNA from 1 species
UACGUAGGGUGCAAGCGUUGUUCGGAAUUACUGGGCGUAAAGGGCUCGUAGGUGGCCAACUAAGUCAGACGUGAAAUCCCUCAGCUUAACUGGGGAACUGCGUCUGAUACUGGAUGGCUUGAGUUUGGGAGAGGGACGCGGAAUUCCAGGUGUAGCGGUGAAAUGCGUAGAUAUCUGGAGGAACACCGGUGGCGAAGGCGGCGUCCUGGACCAACACUGACACUGAUGAGCGAAAGCCAGGGGAGCAAACGGG